rnacentral:rRNA from 1 species
GAUGAACGCUGGCGGCGUGCCUAAUACAUGCAAGUCGAGCGAACGGACGAGAAGCUUGCUUCUCUGAUGUUAGCGGCGGACGGGUGAGUAACACGUGGAUAACCUACCUAUAAGACUGGGAUAACUUCGGGAAACCGUAGCUAAUACCGGAUAAUAUUUUGAGCCGCAUGGUUCAAAAGUGAAAGACGGUCUUGCUGUCACUUAUAGAUGGAUCCGCGCUGCAUUAGCUAGUUGGUAAGGUAACGGCUUACCAAGGCAACGAUGCAUAGCCGACCUGAGAGGGUGAUCGGCCACACUGGAAAUGAGAAACGGUCCAGACUCCUACGGGAGGCAGCAGUAGGGAAUCUUCCGAAAUGGGCGAAAGCCUGACGGAGCAACGCCGCGUGAGUGAUGAAGGUCUUCGGAUCGUAAAACUCUGUUAUUAGGGAAGAACAUAUGUGUAAGUAACUGUGCACAUCUUGACGGUACCUAAUCAGAAAGCCACGGCUAACUACGUG